UACGUAAGGUCCGAGCGUUGUCCGGAAUCAUUGGGCGUAAAGGGUACGUAGGCGGAUAAGCAAGUUAGCAGUGAAAUCUUAUAGCUCAACUAUAGUAAGCUUUUAAAACUGGUCAUCUUGAGGUAUGGAAGGGAAAGUGGAAUUCCUAGUGUAGCGGUGAAAUGCGCAGAUAUUAGGAGGAAUUCCAAUGGCGAAGGCAACUAUCUGGGCAUAAACUGACGCUGAUGCACGAAAGCGUGGGUAGCAAACAGG
rnacentral:rRNA from 1 species